GCGGUGAGCAGUGUGGUUUAAUUUCGAUGGUACGCGAGGAACCUUACCUGGGUUUGACAUACAACGGAAAGUGGUAGCGAUAUCACUGCGUCGCAAGACGACGUUGUACAGGUGCUGCAUGGCUGUCGUCAGCUCGUGCCGUGAGGUGUUGGGUUAAGUCCCGCAACGAGCGCAACCCUUAUCGUUAGUUGCCAUCUGGUAAUGCAGGGGACUCUAGCGAAACUGCCACCGUAAGGUGAGAGGAAGUGGGGAUGACGUCAAAUCAGCACGGCCCUUAUGUCCAGGGCUACACACGUGUUACAAUGGUCGGUACAGAGGGCAGCUACCUGGUGACAGGGUGCUAAUCUCGAAAACCGGUCUCAGUUCGGAUCGAAGUCUGCAACUCGACUUCGUGAAGCUGGAUUCGCUAGUAAUCGCGCAUCAGCUAUGGCCGCGGUCGAAUACGUUCCGGGCCUU
rnacentral:rRNA from 1 species